AGUGAACGCUGGCGGUAGGCCUAACACAUGCAAGUCGAACGGCAGCACAGGAGAGCUUGCUCUCUGGGUGGCGAGUGGCGGACGGGUGAGGAAUACAUCGGAAUCUACUUUUUCGUGGGGGAUAACGUAGGGAAACUUACGCUAAUACCGCAUACGACCUACGGGUGAAAGCAGGGGACCUUCGGGCCUUGCGCGAUUGAAUGAGCCGAUGUCGGAUUAGCUAGUUGGCGGGGUAAAGGCCCACCAAGGCGACGAUCCGUAGCUGGUCUGAGAGGAUGAUCAGCCACACUGGAACUGAGACACGGUCCAGACUCCUACGGGAGGCAGCAGCGGGGAAUAUUGGACAAUGGGCGCGAGCCUGAUCCAGCCAUACCGCGUGGGUGAAGAAGGCCUUCGGGUUGUAAAGCCCUUUUGUUGGGAAAGAAAUCCAGCUGGCUAAUACCCGGUUGGGAUGACGGUACCCAAAGAAUAAGCACCGGCUAACUUCGUGCCAGCCGCCGCAGUAA
rnacentral:rRNA from 1 species